rnacentral:lncRNA from 1 species
UAACUUUUUAUUUUUGUCCUCUCUGGCCUCCAAGUUUUCUAGGAUGAUGCAAUGUCCAGCCAUCAACACAUUUGUGAAGGAAUUUUUACUCCCUAAAAGAGCGCCCCCCCAUGGCAGGAGAAAAAAGUCCAUUUUUUCUUGUCCCAUAAGGUGAAAAUACACAUUGUUGACUGUCAUACCUGUAUGCUUUGUCAUAUUGACACAAAAUUUGACACACACAUGUAUCUCAAUAAGAUCUACGAAAAAGUCAAAGAGCGCGUAUCUGUAAAAUGUACGGUUAAAGGGCUAUUUUGCAUUUUUUGCCGAUUAGCACACAUUGGAAUGUGGCUAACUCCUCCUAAGGCUUUCGUCCCACUGACACCAAAUUUGCUCAGGCCAAUCUACACCCCAUGGCCAUUCAAAGUUUUAAAAAUCAUGCCGCUGCACCCCACGGUUUACGUUCUAGGGGGCGCCAAAGAUGACCCAAAUAUCCACAUUCUUAAAAGAAUCCACAUCCCUUUCCCCCCCCCCUCCCAUCCCCCAUCCCCCAUGGCAGGAGAAACAGUCAAGUUUUUCCUGCCCAUCACUCAAUGGCUCAAUCGCAUCGCUCUCCCGGCAACACCGUAACGAGGAGCAACUUGCCGUUUGGAUACAUCCUAGCUGUGUUUGUGCCCUCACUCAUGGUCCAGACUUUUUUCAAAUAGGACAUGUAGUUUGUCUGCAGCGAGUGUUUUGGUAGAAACUGCGCCUCCCAUUCAUUAUAAUGGGAAAUGACCACAGACAAGUGCGCACACCAUCUUUGGACCUUGAGUGUGACGCGAUCGGGAGGGGGAGGCGGUCGCACUGGGGGCGGCGCAACGCGGCUCGGGCCCGCCAGUGCCCCAACGGGGCCCUAGUUCUUUCUUUCUUUUCUUCUUUUUCCUCCCUUUGAACUGGAAAAUGGCCCACUUCCCACUGGCGAAAACUCAUGAAAUUUGGCAGGACGACCGGGCCUGGUGAAAAAUUCGAUAUUCUGAAGUCGCCCAAACAAUAAAAUGCAAAAUGGCUCCAUAGCGCCCCCUAAGGUGGAAAUUCACACUAUUGACUGUCACGCCUGUACGCUUUGUCAUAUUGACACAAAAAUUGACACACAUAUGUAUCUCAAUAAGAUCUACAAAAAAGUCAGUGCGGCCGUAUCUGUCAAAAUUACGGUUAAAGGGUUAUUUCGCAUUUUUUGCCGAUCCGCACACAUUGGAAUUUCGCUAACUCCUCCGAAGGCUUUCGUUCCACCGGCACCACAUUUGCUCAGGCCAAUCUACACCCCAUGGCCAUUAAAAGUUAUUCAAAUCAUGACGCUGCACCCCACGGUUUAGGUUCUAGGGGGCGCCAAAUAUAACACUAAAAUCCACAUAUUUAAAAGUCUUAUAACUUUUUAUUUUUGUCCUCACUGGCCUCCAAGUUUUCUAGGAUGAUGCAAUGUCCAGCCAUCAACACAUUUGUGAAGGAAUUUUUACUCCCCAAAAGAGCGCCCCCCCAUGGCAGGAGAAAAAAGUCAAUUUUUUCUUGUCCCCUAAGGUGAAAAUACACAUUGUUGAGUGUCACGCCUAUACGCUUUGUCAAAAUGACACAAAAAUUGACACACACAUGUAACUCAAUAAGAUCUACGAAAAAGUCAAUGCGCGCGUAUCUGUCAAAUGUACGGUUAAAGGGUUAUUCCGCAUUUUUUGCCGAUCCGCACACAUUGGAAUGUGGCUAACUCCUCCGAAGGCUUUAGUUCCACCGGCACCACAUUUGCUCAGGCCAAUCUACACCCCAUGGCCAUUAAAAGUUAUUCAAAUCAUGACGCUGCACCCCACGGUUUACGUUCUAGGGGGCGCCAAAGAUAACCCUAAAAUCCACAUAUUUAAAAGUCUUAUAACUUUUUAUUUUUGCCCUCACUGGCCUCCAAGUUUUCUAGGAUGAUGCAAUGUCCAGCCAUCAACACAUUUGUGAAGGAAUUUUUACUCCCCAAAAGAGCGCCCCCCAUGGCAGGAGAAAAAAGUCCAUUUUUUCUUGUCCCCUAAGGUGAAAAUACACAUUGUAGAGUGUCACGCCUGUACGCUUUGUCAAAAUGACACAAAAUUUGACAUACACGUGUAUUUCAAUAAGAUCUUCGAAAAAGUCAAUAGCCACGUAUAUGUAAAAUGUACAGUUAAAGGGUUAUUUCACAUUUUUUGCAGAUCCGCACACAUUGGAAUUUGGCUAACUCCUCCUAAGGCUUUCGUCCCACUGACACCAAAUUUGCUCAGGCCAAUCUACACCCCAUGGCCAUUCAAAGUUGUAAAAAUCAUGACGCUGCACCCCACGGUUUACGUUCUAGGGGGCGCCAAAGAUGACCCAAAAAUCCACAUUCUUAAAAGAAUCCACACCCCCCCCCCAUCCCCCAUCCCCCAUGGCAGGAGAAACAGUCAAGUUUUUCCUUCCCAUCACUCAAUGGCUCAAUCGCAUCACUCUCCCGGCAACACCGUAACGAGGAGCAACUUGCCGUUUGGAUAUAUCCUAGCUGUGUUUGUGCCCUCACUCAUGGUCCAGACUUUUUUCAAAUAGGACAUGUAGUUUGUCUGCAGCGAGUGUUUUGGUAGAAACUGCGCCUCCCAUUCAUUAUAAUGGGAAAUGACCACAGACAAGUGCGCACACCAUCUUUGGACCUUGAGUGUGACGCGAUCGGGAGGGGGAGGCGGUCGCGCUGGGGGCGGCGCAACGCGGCUCGGGCCCGACAGUGCCCCACCGGGGUCCUAGUUCUUUGUUUCUUUAGGGCCCGAGCGUAGCUGCUAAGCAGCUGCGAGAGCCCUCUUGUUCCUGUAGUUUCCUUCUUUUGUUAUUAUUAUUAUUAUUAUUUUUCCUCCCCUUUGAACUGGAAAAUGGCCCACUUCCCACUGGCGAAAACUCAUGAAAUUUGGCAGGACGACCGGGCCUGGUGAAAAAUUCGAUAUUCUGAAGUCGCCCAAACAAUAAAAUGCAAAAUGGCUCCAUAGCGCCCCCUAAGGUGUAAAUUCACACUAUUCACUGUCACGCCUGUACGCUUUGUCAUAUUGACACAAAAAUUGAUACACAUAUGUAUCUCAAUAAGAUCUACAAAAAAGUCAGUGCGGCCGUAUCUGUCAAAAUUACGGUUAAAGGGUUAUUUCGCAUUUUUUGCCGAUCCGCACACAUUGGAAUUUCGCUAACUCCUCCGAAGGCUUUCGUUCCACCGGCACCACAUUUGCUCAGGCCAAUCUACACCCCGUGGCCAUUAAAAGUUAUUCAAAUCAUGACGCUGCACCCCACGGUUUAGGUUCUAGGGGGCGCCAAAGAUAACCCUAAAAUCCACAUAUUUAAAAGUCUUAUAACUUUUUAUUUUUGUCCUCACUGGCCUCCAAAUUUUCUAGGAUGAUGCAAUGUCCAGCCAUCAACACAUUUGUGAAGGAAUUUUUACUCCCCAAAAGAGCGCCCCCCCAUGGCAGGAGAAAAAAGUCCAUUUUUUCUUGUCCCCUAAGGUGAAAAUACACAUUGUUGAGUGCUACGCCUGUAUGUUUUGUCGUAUUGACACAAAAUUUUACAUACACGUGUAUUUACAUAAGAUCUUCGAAAAAGUCAAUGGCCACGUAUCUGUAAAAUGUACGGUUAAAGGGUUAUUUCGCAUUUUUUGCAGAUUCGCACACAUUGGAAUUUCGCUAAUUCCUCCGAAGGCUUUCGUUCCACCGGCACCACAUUUGCUCAGGCCAAUCUACACCCCAUGGCCAUUAAAAGUUAUUCAAAUCAUGACGCUGCACCCCACGGUUUAGGUUCUAGGGGGCGCCAAAUAUAACCCUAAAAUCCACAUAUUUAAAAGUCUUAUAACUUUUUAUUUUUGUCCUCACUGGCCUCCAUGUUUUCUAGGAUGAUGCAAUGUCCAGCCAUCAACACAUUUGUGAAGGAGUUUUUUCUCUUUAAAAGAGCGCCCCCCCAUGGCAGGAGAAUAAAGUCAAGUUUUUCCUGUUCAUCAUUCAAUGGCUCAAACGCACUGCUCUCUCGGCAAAAGCGAAAGGAGGAGCAACUUGCCAUUUGGAUAUAUCUUAGCUGUGUUUGUGCCCUCACUCAUGGUCCAGACUUUUUUCAAAUAGGACAUGGAGUUUUUCUGCAGCGAGCGUUUUGGUAGAAACUGCGCCUCCCGUUCAUUAUAAUGGUAAAUGACCACAAACAAGUGCGCACACCAUCUUUGGACCUUGAGUGUGACGCGAUCGGGUGGGGGAGGCGGUCGCGCUGGGGGCGGCGUGACACGGCUCGGGCCCGCCAGUGCCCCAACGGGGCCCUAGUUCUUUCUUUCUUUCUUCUUUUUCCUCCCCUUUGAACUGGAAAAUGGCCCACUUCCCACUGGCGAAAACUCAUGAAAUUUGGUAGGACGACCGGGCCUGGUGAAAAAUUUGAUAUUCUGAAGUCGCCCAAACAAGAAAAUGCAAAAUGGCUCCAUAGCGCCCCCUAAGGUGAAAAUUCACACUAUUGACUGUCACGCCUGUACGCUUUGUCAAAAUGACACAAAAAUUGACACACACAUGUAUCUCAAUAAGAUCUACAAAAAAGUCAGUGCGGGCGUAUCUGUCAAAUGUACGGUUAAAGGGUUAUUUCGCAUUUUUUGCCGAUCCGCACACAUUGGAAUUUCGCUAACUCCUCCGAAGGCUUUCGUUCCACCGGCACCACAUUUGCUCAGGCCAAUCUACACCCCAUGGCCAUUAAAAGUUAUUCAAAUCAUGACGCUGCACCCCACGGUUUAGGUUUUAGGGGGCGCCAAAGAUAACCCUAAGAUCCACAUAUUUAAAAGUCUUAUAACUUUUUAUUUUUGCCCUCACUGGCCUCCAAGUUUUCUAGGAUGAUGCAAUGUCCAGCCAUCAACACAUUUGUGAAGGAAUUUUUACUCCCCAAAAGAGCGCCCCCCAUGGCAGGAGAAAAAAGUCAAUUUUUUCUUGUCCCCUAAGGUGAAAAUACACAUUGUUGAGUGUAACACCUGUACGCUUUGGCAAAAUGACACAAAAAUUGACACACACAUGUAUCUCAAUAAGAUCUACGAAAAAGUCAAUGCGCGCGUAUCUGUUAAAUGUACGGUUAAAGGGUUAUUCCGCAUUUUUUGCUGAUCCGCACACAUUGGAAUUUCGCUAACUCCUCCGAAGGCUUUUGUUCCACCGGCACCACAUUUGCUCAGGCCAAUCUACACCCCAUGGCCAUUAAAAGUUAUUCAAAUCAUGACGCUGCACCCCACGGUUUAGGUUCUAGGGGGCGCCAAAGAUAACCCUAAAAUCCACAUAUUUAAAAGUCUUAUAACUUUUUAUUUUUGUCCUCACUGGCCUCCAAGUUUUCUAGGAUGAUGCAAUGUCCAGCCAUCAACACAUUUGUGAAGGAAUUUUUACUCCCCAAAAGAGCGCCCCCCCAUGGCAGGAGAAAAAAGUCAAUUUUUUCUUGUCCCCUAAGGUGGAAAUUCACACUAUUGACUGUCACGCCUGUACGCUUUAUCAUAUUGACACAAAAAUUGACACACAUAUGUAUCUCAAUAAGAUCUACAAAAAAGUCAAUGCGCGCGUAUCUGUCAAAUGUACGGUUAAAGGGCUAUUUUUGCAUUUUUUGCCGAUUAGCACACAUUGGAAUGUGGCUAACUCCUCCUAAGGCUUUCGUCCCACUGACACCAAAUUUGCUCAGGCCAAUCUACACCCCAUGGCCAUUCAAAGUUGUAAAAAUCAUGACGCUGCACCCCACGGUUUACGUUCUAGGGGGCGCCAAAGAUGACCCAAAUAUCCACAUUCUUAAAAGAAUCCACAUCCCCCUCCCCCCCCAUCCUCCAUCCCCCAUCCCCCAUCCCCCAUGGCAGGAGAAACAGUCAAGUUUUUCCUGCCCAUCACUCAAUGGCUCAAUCGCAUCGCUCUCCCGGCAACACCGUAACGAGGAGCAACUUGCCGUUUGGAUAUAUCCUAGCUGUGUUUGUGCCCUCACUCAUGGUCCAGACUUUUUUCAAAUAGGACAUGUAGUUUGUCUGCAGCGAGUGUUUUGGUAGAAACUGCGCCUCCCAUUCAUUAUAAUGGGAAAUGACCACAGACAAGUGCGCACACCAUCUUUGGACCUUGAGUGUGACGCGAUCGGGAGGGGGAGGCGGUCGCGCUGGGGGCGGCGCAACGCGGCUCGGGCCCGACAGUGCCCCACCGGGGUCCUAGUUCUUUGUUUCUUUCUUUCUUUCUUUCUUCUUUUUCCUCCCCUUUGAACUGGAAAAUGGCCCACUUCCCACUGGCGAAAACUCAUGAAAUUUGGUAGGACGACCGGGCCUGGUGAAAAAUUUGAUAUUCUGAAGUCGCCCAAACAAGAAAAUGCAAAAUGGCUCCAUAGCGCCCCCUAAGGUGAAAAUUCACACUAUUGACUGUCACGCCUGUACGCUUUGUCAAAAUGACACAAAAAUUGACACACACAUGUAUCUCAAUAAGAUCUACAAAAAAGUCAGUGCGGGCGUAUCUGUCAAAUGUACGGUUAAAGGGUUAUUUCGCAUUUUUUGCCGAUCCGCACACAUUGGAAUUUCGCUAACUCCUCCGAAGGCUUUCGUUCCACCGGCACCACAUUUGCUCAGGCCAAUCUACACCCCAUGGCCAUUAAAAGUUAUUCAAAUCAUGACGCUGCACCCCACGGUUUAGGUUUUAGGGGGCGCCAAAGAUAACCCUAAGAUCCACAUAUUUAAAAGUCUUAUAACUUUUUAUUUUUGCCCUCACUGGCCUCCAAGUUUUCUAGGAUGAUGCAAUGUCCAGCCAUCAACACAUUUGUGAAGGAAUUUUUACUCCCCAAAAGAGCGCCCCCCCAUGGCAGGAGAAAAAAGUCAAUUUUUUCUUGUCCCCUAAGGUGAAAAUACACAUUGUUGAGUGUAACACCUGUACGCUUUGGCAAAAUGACACAAAAAUUGACACACACAUGUAUCUCAAUAAGAUCUACGAAAAAGUCAAUGCGCGCGUAUCUGUUAAAUGUACGGUUAAAGGGUUAUUCCGCAUUUUUUGCUGAUCCGCACACAUUGGAAUUUCGCUAACUCCUCCGAAGGCUUUUGUUCCACCGGCACCACAUUUGCUCAGGCCAAUCUACACCCCAUGGCCAUUAAAAGUUAUUCAAAUCAUGACGCUGCACCCCACGGUUUAGGUUCUAGGGGGCGCCAAAGAUAACCCUAAAAUCCACAUAUUUAAAAGUCUUAUAACUUUUUAUUUUUGUCCUCACUGGCCUCCAAGUUUUCUAGGAUGAUGCAAUGUCCAGCCAUCAACACAUUUGUGAAGGAAUUUUUACUCCCCAAAAGAGCGCCCCCCAUGGCAGGAGAAAAAAGUCAAUUUUUUCUUGUCCCCUAAGGUGGAAAUUCACACUAUUGACUGUCACGCCUGUACGCUUUAUCAUAUUGACACAAAAAUUGACACACAUAUGUAUCUCAAUAAGAUCUACAAAAAAGUCAAUGCGCGCGUAUCUGUCAAAUGUACGGUUAAAGGGCUAUUUUUGCAUUUUUUGCCGAUUAGCACACAUUGGAAUGUGGCUAACUCCUCCUAAGGCUUUCGUCCCACUGACACCAAAUUUGCUCAGGCCAAUCUACACCCCAUGGCCAUUCAAAGUUGUAAAAAUCAUGACGCUGCACCCCACGGUUUACGUUCUAGGGGGCGCCAAAGAUGACCCAAAUAUCCACAUUCUUAAAAGAAUCCACAUCCCCCUCCCCCCCCCCCAUCCUCCAUCCCCCAUCCCCCAUCCCCCAUGGCAGGAGAAACAGUCAAGUUUUUCCUGCCCAUCACUCAAUGGCUCAAUCGCAUCGCUCUCCCGGCAACACCGUAACGAGGAGCAACUUGCCGUUUGGAUAUAUCCUAGCUGUGUUUGUGCCCUCACUCAUGGUCCAGACUUUUUUCAAAUAGGACAUGUAGUUUGUCUGCAGCGAGUGUUUUGGUAGAAACUGCGCCUCCCAUUCAUUAUAAUGGGAAAUGACCAUAGACAAGUGCGCACACCAUCUUUGGACCUUGAGUGUGACGCGAUCGGGAGGGGGAGGCGGUCGCGCUGGGGGCGGCGCGACGCGGCUCGGGCCCGACAGUGCCCCACCGGGGCCCUAGUUAUUAUUAUUUUUCCUCCCCUUUGAACUGGAAAAUGGCCCACUUCCCACUGGCGAAAACUCAUGAAAUUUGGCAGGACGACCGGGCCUGGUGAAAAAUUUGAUAUUCUGAAGUCGCCCAAACAAUACAAUGCAAAAUGGCUCCAUAGCGCCCCCUAAGGUGAAAAAUUCACCUGACGCCUGUACGCUUUGUCAAAAUGACACAAAAAUUGACACACACAUGUAUCUCAAUAAGAUCUACAAAAAAGUCAGUGCGGGCGUAUCUGUCAAAUGUACGGUUAAAGGAUUAUUUCGCAUUUUUUGCCGAUCCGCACACAUUGGAAUUUCGCUAACUCCUCCGAAGGCUUUCGUUCCACCGGCACCACAUUUGCUCAGGCCAAUCUACACCCCAUGGCCAUUAAAAGUUAUUCAAAUCAUGACGCUGCACCCCACGGUUUAUGUUCUAGGGGGCGCCAAAGAUAACCCUAAAAUCCACAUAUUUAAAAGUCUUAUAACUUUUUAUUUUUGCCCUCACUGGCCUCCAAGUUUUCUAGGAUGAUGCAAUGUCCAGCCAUCAACACAUUUGUGAAGGAAUUUUUACUCCCCAAAAGAGCGCCCCCCCAUGGCAGGAGAAAAAAGUCCAUUUUUUCUUGUUCCAUAAGGUGAAAAUUCACACUAUUGACUGUCACGCCUGUACGCUUUGUCAAAAUUACACAAAAAUUGACACACACAUGUAUCUCAAUAAGAUCUACAAAAAAGUCAGUGCGCGCGUAUCUGUCAAAUGUACGGUUAAAGGGUUAUUGCGCAUUUUUUGCCGAUCCGCACACAUUGGAAUUUCGCUAACUCCUCCGAAGGCUUUCGUUCCACCGGCACCACAUUUGCUCAGGCCAAUCUACACCCCAUGGCCAUUAAAAGUUAUUCAAAUCAUGACGCUGCACCCCACGGUUUAGGUUCUAGGGGGCGCCAAAGAUAACCCUAAAAUCCACAUAUUUAAAAGUCUUAUAACUUUUUAUUUUUGUCCUCUCUGGCCUCCAAGUUUUCUAGGAUGAUGCAAUGUCCAGCCAUCAACACAUUUGUGAAGGAAUUUUUACUCCCU